rnacentral:rRNA from 1 species
UACGGGGGGGGCAAGCGUUGUUCGGAAUUACUGGGCGUAAAGGGCUCGUAGGUGGCCAACUAAGUCAGACGUGAAAUCCCUCGGCUUAACCGGGGAACUGCGUCUGAUACUGGAUGGCUUGAGUUCGGGAGAGGGAUGCGGAAUUCCAGGUGUAGCGGUGAAAUGCGUAGAUAUCGUGAGGAAGACCGGUGGCGAAGGCGGAUCUCUGGACAGUUCCUGACGCUGAGGCGCGAAGGCCAGGGGAGCAAACGGG